rnacentral:rRNA from 1 species
GAUGAACGCUGGCGGCGUGCCUAAUACAUGCAAGUCGAGCGAACAGACGAGGAGCUUGCUCCUCUGACGUUAGCGGCGGACGGGUGAGUAACACGUGGAUAACCUACCUAUAAGACUGGGAUAACUUCGGGAAACCGGAGCUAAUACCGGAUAAUAUAUUGAACCGCAUGGUUCAAUAGUGAAAGACGGUUUUGCUGUCACUUAUAGAUGGAUCCGCGCCGCAUUAGCUAGUUGGUAAGGUAACGGCUUACCAAGGCAACGAUGCGUAGCCGACCUGAGAGGGUGAGAGGCAACACGGGGAGUGAGACAGGGGAGAGAGUACGACUGGAGGCAACAGGAGGGAAGAGUAAGCAAAGGUGAGGGACCGAACAAAGAAACACCGAGGGAGGAAUAAAGGUAUAAGAAACGGAAAAAUCUGUUAGUAGAGAAAACCAUAUGGGGACGUAACGGGGCACAGCGUGACGGGACCUAAUCAGAAAGCCACCGCACACCACGGG